UACAGAGGUCCCAAGCGUUGUUCGGAUUCACUGGGCGUAAAGGUGCGUAGGUGGUCGGGUAAGUCUGGUGUGAAAUCUCCGAGCUCAACUCGGAAAUGGCAUUGGAUACUAUUCGGCUAGAGGAUUGGAGGGGGGACUGGAAUACUUGGUGUAGCAGUGAAAUGCGUAGAUAUCAAGUGGAACACCAGUGGCGAAGGCGAGUCCCUGGACAAUUCCUGACACUGAGGCACGAAAGCUAGGGAGCAAACAGG
rnacentral:rRNA from 1 species